CGUGUGUGCGGUGCCGUGAGCGGCGGCAGCGGCCGGAGCGCGGUGAGGCGGCGGCGGAGCUCGGAGGCGGCCGCAGCGCAGCCUCUGGAAGAAAUCUACUCUGCAGGGGAUUCCAUUGUGAUUCGAUUCCAUACAGAUGACGCCAUCAACAAGAAAGGAUUUCAUGCCUGAUACAUAAGUACCAAAUUUCAGGAUGCAUUGCACAUGAAAAAAUAGUUUGACUGCUCCUCACAGAUAUUCCCCAUCUGAAGAUUGAGACCUUUAACUGUGAUCUUUGUCUUUUAUUUUUAAAGCUUCUGUGCACUUGGCCAAAAGCAGUGUACAUUAUUUUCUAACUAAAACUAAAUCCAGUCUCAAAGGUUUGCCUCUGCAAUUAUUAGCAUGACCCUUUCUUGUUAACCUACCCAGGACCAAAAAACUGUCUUUUAAUCAUACCUGCCAGGGCAUAAACAUUGUAUUUUGCACCACUUGCUAUGGGGCUGAAUGAAGACUGAACUUGAAUUGAGAAUAGCCUUCAUCUCUUGCAUAUCUUGUUUCUAGGUGACAUUUUCCAAGCAUCCACAUGAGCUGUCUGGAGCAAGUGUUUUGGACAGACAUCCAGUAGGAUUUUUUCAAAGGACUUUGUGAGCCACACCCUACCUGCCCCAACUACUCUGUGCAAUAAGAGACCAACCAGAUGGCUGUGCCUGCAUCACUCUUUCUGUCCUCUCUAUUAUUGUCUUGCUUACUUUGAGUGGAGAGCAAGGCAAGGGACAGGGACAGUCUCUUCUAGCUACUUGGAUUCCAGGGAAUGAGGAGGACCCAGUAGUUGGUUUGUAGUAAUUGUCAUGGUGUAUGUUGAAUGGAAAUACUUCAAUGCAGUGCUCAAGGCAAGGGUGGUGGCUGACAGGGAAAUGUUGUGGUGAGAUGCAAGACGAAGAUAUGUGAUGGUGGCAAAGCUUAGUGUUGACAGCCUGCCCCAGUUAUAUCACCAUGCAUGGCAGCUCAGAGGGCGGUGGCAGCAGUCCAGGCCCUGUCUUAAAUAAGGAGUCUCUCCUUCUCACUCCACCCAUGCUUGCUUUCUCAGCCUUCUUUACACUGCUUCCUUUCCAUACUACCACUUCCCUGUGAGCUCUUCCUUUACACAGUGGAGCUGCUCUCCCCAGGGCUGCCUACCACAACCUAGGAGUGCUGUGCAACUUCAGCUGGCCAGAACAUCUCGCUGAAGAAAACACUGGGGCAGGGGAAGUCAGGGUGUCCCUGAGGCAGAGGGACACAGGCCAUGCUACAGGUCAGGUUUGGUGAUCUCUGGGAACCUGUCAAACUUGCAAGCUGCAGGUAUGGGGCUAGAAAUGGAAGAGUUCUGGUUUCUGCUUCCUCCCCAUUUGUCACUGGUGCUGGCCCAGUCUCUUAACUUCAUGGCAAGGGUGCAAGUGAGAUGGUGACUUAAGAGUUAUAAGGCUCAGACAUGUUCUUGUUUGCCUGUGAGAGCUACCCAGCCACAGGCUUGAAGAAUUAACAGUAGCUUGGUGCUUCUUUCAGAAAAAAAAAAAAAAAAGGAAAAGUAUGUUUUGGGGGAACCACUGUAACUGAGCAGUUGGCAUGGGAGGAAAAAAAAAUACUUCAUUCUGAAUGUUUCGUUAAGGCACUCAUGGGCAAUUAUGAGCUAAAAGCUGAGGUAUGUUAGCUUUAAUAAAGUAUUUAUAAUCCAAGGAUUGCUAUGUUUACAUGACCAUUGUGCUGUCAGGCUUAGGAGUGGCACCUCUUCUCUUGCAUAUGACUGUGGAGAGGUGUGGGGCCAGUGCCACUGUCUGGCACAAACAACAUUCCUGGAGAUAAGGGCAUUUUCAGAUGGAUAAUAAAUAGACCUAGCCCUCUCCAGAAGUCCUUGAAUAGAAUAUGGGCCAAGUAUUGUGAAUACUAGGAGAAGCAAAUGCAUGAAAAUAUUUUCUUGCUUAGAUCAAGAAAAGUAAAGUAAUUUAUGCCUACUCACAGAGGAUUAUUUGUAUAUAAAAUGUGCAUGUAGAAGACCAGUAGUCCAAGCCUUUAAUAAGUGUAAUGUGAACAAUACUGUACCAUGGACUGUAGCUUUAUUGCAGGCUGUAUAAAAUCAUGUUAUCUCUGUUUUGAUUUUGGUUUUUUGGUUUGAUUUAUUUUAGCUCUGCUUUGUUUAUCUUUUCAAAUUUUCUGGCCUUUUUACAGUUAAGACCUCUGAUCUCAGGCUUUUUGACCAUGCAGGUCUGGAGAAGUAAGCUCUGCUAGAUGGGGUGUGCAUCUCUUCUUUGCUUCAGUUCAAGCAAAAUUACAUUAACUCAGGUCUGGAAAUAAAAGUGUGACAUCAAUCCCUGUGAAACAGAAGCAAAGUUUCAGGUGACAAGCAGCAGUUCCAGUUUCCUGACCUUUUAGUGGCAGCAGUGACUCUAGAGGAGAGUGAGUGUAGCAGGUUCCCAUGUACUUUAACAUCUUUUUUUCCAUGUUCUGGUAAUUUCCCAUACAACCCAGACUGGUUGGAUGCAGAUGCUUGCAAUGUCGUUUGACUGAUCUAUGACACUUGUUAGUGUUCAUCCAGGUGUCUUUUGUGACAGUGUGUUCACAAAUGUUGUUCUGUGCAUUCCAACCAAUGAUCCAUGUAGAAUAUUUCUGCUGUACUGACUGGACUUUACAGUCAAUAAUUCUAAACGAGUGAAAUUUUCUUAAGAAAAACAAUGUCAAACCCUCUGAUUGUCAAGAUGUAUUCUGGUCUUUGUGUGGUUUUACAUUUCACUUACUGAAAUAAUUUUUAGAGGGGGAGAAGAAGAGGGCGUGGGGACAAUCACAAAAGUACCUGUGUCCAGAACAAGUCUCUGCAUUCAUUAAAGACUGUGGAUUCAGUUGUGCA